rnacentral:rRNA from 1 species
AGUGAACGCUGGCGGUAGGCCUAACACAUGCAAGUCGAACGGCAGCACAGUAAGAGCUUGCUCUUACGGGUGUCGAGUGUCGGACGGUUGAGGAAUCUAUCGGAAACUACUUUUUCGUUGGGGAUAACGCCGGGAAACUUACGCUAAUACCGCAUACGACCUACGAGUGACAGCAGGGGAUCUUCGGACUUUUCGCGAUUGAAUGAGCCGAUGUCGGAUUAGCUAGUUGGCGGGGUAAAGGCCCACCGAGGCGACGCUCCGUAGCUGGCAUGAGAGGAUGAUCAGACAGCCUGGAACUGAGAAACGGCACAGACUCCUACGGUGAGAAGCAGUGGGGAAUAUUGGACAAUGGGGGAAAGCCGGAUCCAAGCAUACCGCGUGAGUGAAGAAGGCGUUCGGGUUGUAGAGCCAUUUAGUUGGGAAAGAAAAACAGCACGUUAAUACGCCAAUGUUCUGACGGUACCAGAAGAAUAAGCACCGGCUAACUUCGUG